AGCAAAACUAUUAAGGGGAAAUAAUCAUAUUUACUAACUUCAGAAUGCUACAUGUACUAGUUUUGUGGGGAGGUGGUUUUCUUUUGUGAGUUCCCUCAAAGUUCUAGUUUUACUUUAUUAUUUAGUUUUUAUGUUUACAUUAGUAUGCUAUUCAGGACUGAUAUGUUGAAUUAAUAUUAGUCUGCUAGUGUCCGGCCAGUAGAAUCACUGUAGAACUUGGAUGGUGUUGUUUACACGUCAAUUCUGUUUCAAAGAAUUUUCUAUUUGACCAACAGGGGUUAACUUUAUGGUUCUAACAGGACAAACAGCUUUAAUGUGCAACUCCUGAUAGAACAAUCAACUAUCUCAGACACAUCUACAGGAAGAAAAGUGCAACUACUAUUUUGAUUAUUCUCAUUGAUUUCUUGAUUAUGCCUUCUAAAGAGGAUGUGCAUAUAAGUACUACAAAAUAGAUGUACAUAUUUUAUGGAUUUUUUGUCUUCUGCAUUUAUCAGUUAUAUAAUCUGAACUUUCAUACACA
rnacentral:lncRNA from 1 species